GGCUCAGAACGAACGCUGGCAGCGUGGAUUAGGCAUGCAAGUCGAACGGGAUCCGGAAGGCAGCAAUGUCGGCCGGUGAGAGUGGCGGAAGGGCGAGGAACACGUGGGCAACCUGGUCUCUGAGGUGGGGAAAACCGUUGGAAACGACGGCUAAUACCGAAUGUAGCGCCCGCUCGCAUGAGCGGAGCGCCAAAGGGGGCGAAAGCUCCCCCUCUCCGAGGGGCCCGCGCACCAGUCAGCUUGUUGGCGGGGUAACGGCCCACAAGGCUCACGGUUAGCUGGUCUGAGAGGAUGGCCAGCCGCACUGGGACUGAGAUACUGCCCAGACUCCUACGGGAGGCUGCAGUCGAGGAUCAUUUGCAAUGGGCGAAAGCCUGACAAUGCGACGCUGCGUGGAGGAUGAAGGCCCUCGGGUUGUAAACUCCUGUCAUGGGGGAAAAGGAAAAGGGACCCAACACGUCCCCGAUUUGAUGGUACCCCAAGAGGAAGCGACGGCUAACUCUGUGCCAGCAGCCGC
rnacentral:rRNA from 1 species